rnacentral:rRNA from 1 species
UACGGAGGUCUCAAGCGUUGUUCGGAUUCAUUGGGCGUAAAGGGUGCGUAGGCGGCGCGGUAAGUCGGGUGUGAAAUUUCGAGGCUUAACUUCGAAACUGCAUUCGAUACUGCCGUGCUCGAGGACUGGAGAGGAGACUGGAAUUUACGGUGUAGCAGUGAAAUGCGUAGAUAUCGGAAGGAACAUCAGUGGCGAAAGCGACUUCCUGGACCAAUACUGACGCUCAUGUGCGAAAGCGUGGGGAGCAAACAGG